UACGGGGGGGGGUAAGCGUUGUUCGGAAUUACUGGGCGUAAAGGGCUCGUAGGCGGUUUUGUCGCGUCGGGAGUGAAAACCUCGGGCUUAACUCGGGGCUUGCUUUCGAUACGGGCAGACUAGAGGUAUGCAGGGGAGAACGGAAUUCCUGGUGUAGCGGUGAAAUGCGCAGAUAUCAGGAGGAACACCGGUGGCGAAGGCGGUUCUCUGGGCAUGAUCUGACGCUGAGGAGCGAAAGUGUGGGGAGCGAACAGG
rnacentral:rRNA from 1 species